CCGCCACCCGCCGCGCUCACCUUCUGGCGGCCUCCCGGCUCCCGGGUAGUACCGAGGUCUUUGGACUGAAAAAGUUGCACCUGAGCAGAUGCACCCAGAGACCUAAACGAGUUUCUUUUUCAUAGACCUGUUAGAUGGCAGGUGUUCCAGGUCCACCACCAUUAUUCAGUGGUGUCUCUACAUCAUCAUUUAUGAACACAGGAUUCUCCCAUCUUGUUUCUCCAUCAUUGAAACUGGGUCACGGACACAUCUUCCUGAGAGUGUGAAGGAGGCAUAUGUGGGUCUUAUGUUGCAGGACUCCAAAAUGACACAUAACACUAAGCGCAUUCUAUUAGAAACUCCUUUGUCCACAUAGCCAUGUAUAACUGCAUUGAGGUGGGGGGGGCGGGCAGUGCAAGGAGAGAAUAGUGUCAUGUUCCCAGCUACAAUUAUAAGCCCACAGUAAAAAUGACAUAUUUGGUUAUGAGGUGUUACCAAAUUAAAAUAAAAGUCUCUGGGAAGUGA